rnacentral:rRNA from 1 species
AUUGAACGCUGGCGGCAUGCCUUACACAUGCAAGUCGAACGGCAGCACGGGUGCUUGCACCUGGUGGCGGGUGGCGAACGGGUGAGUAAUACAUCGGAACAUGUCCUGUAGUGGGGGAUAGCCCGGCGAAAGCCGGAUUAAUACCGCAUACGAUCCACGGAUGAAAGCGGGGGACCUUCGGGCCUCGCGCUAUAGGGUUGGCCGAUGGCUGAUUAGCUAGUUGGUGGGGUAAAGGCCUACCAAGGCGACGAUCAGUAGCUGGUCUGAGAGGACGACCAGCCACACUGGGACUGAGACACGGCCCAGACUCCUACGGGAGGCAGCAGUGGGGAAUUUUGGACAAUGGGCGAAAGCCUGAUCCAGCAAUGCCGCGUGUGUGAAGAAGGCCUUCGGGUUGUAAAGCACUUUUGUCCGGAAAGAAAUCCUUGACUCUAAUACAGUCGGGGGAUGACGGUACCGGAAGAAUAAGCACCGGCUAACUACGUG